ensembl:misc_RNA Metazoa_SRP Metazoan signal recognition particle RNA
GCUGGGUAUGGUGGUGCACACCUGCAUCCUAGAUACUUGGGAGGCUGAGACAGGAGGAUUGCUUGAGCUCAGGAGUCUGAGACUGCAGUGAGCUAUGAUUGCCACCGCACUCCAGCCUGAGUGACAGAGUGAGACCCUGUCUCUU